GGAAAGUAAGUUCUAUUCUAGUUAGGAAUAGGAAAACUAGCUCUCUUUCCUUGUUCUAAUAGUUUUAGGAAUCCUAAUGUGAUAUGUUUGUAACCAGCACCUAUAAUCUAUAAAUAGGGCUGCAGGGAGCUCAUAUAAUGUGUCCUCAGAUCAGAGAAGAGAUCUCAGAGAGUUCUCAGUUAACAUACAAACAUAGAGGCAGGGAGAGCCAAGGGUGAUAGAGAGAUCUAGCAAAGAGGUUGGGGAUUAGCAUAGGGAUUUCAAUAAGUACUUGUAAUCAAGUUGUUAUUCUCCAUAGUGCUAGUGAUUCUCAAGAGAGAUCACACAGAGGACGUAGGCAAAGUUUUUGUCGAACCUCUAUAAAAUUCUGUGUUCGUGUGCUGUGGUUUUCUGCUGUGAUAUUUUGCAUCAUCAUCCUAUUAUUGUUUGCACAGUCAUAAGCCUAUAAAGAGAAACAAGGUUCUGGGUAAAAGGUGCAUAUUUACUACAAAGUGGUAUCAGAGCUUAGGCUCAAGGUGUUUCUAAGAUGGCAGAUGACAAGGCAGAUGCAGGCAGCAAUGUGAUGCCCAUUAUGUUGAAUGGGAAUGAUAACUUCACAUUAUGGCAGAGGAAGAUGAAAAGUGUCCUGAUUCUACAAGGUCUGUACAAGGCUAUUCUCGGGAUAGAGAAUAAGGCAGCUGAUAUGGCAGACAAGGUUUGGCAGAAGAUGGACAAGAAGGCAAAGAGCUUUAUAGAGCUACAUCUUGCUGAUCAUGUAUUGGUUCAUGUAUUGGCUAGUGCCGGUGAGAAUAUGAACAGCAAAGAGACCUGGGAUUAUCUCGAGAAAGUUUACGCGAGUAAGGUUCAUAUUGGUGAGAAUAUGGACAGCAGUAAGACAUUGGACAAUGUCAAAGAGGUUGACGCGGAUAAACUUUUCUUGAAAGACGAACUCUAUAGUCUUCGGAUGGAAGAAGGCGGGGAUCUGCAGGAUCAUCUGAAUAACUUUCAGAUUUGUGUUGCCAAUUUAUCAAAGGUGGAUGUUAGGUAUAAAGAUGAGGAGAAAACACUUAUGCUGCUAAGAUCUUUACCAGCUUCAUUCAAGCACUUCAUCACCAGACUCGUUUCCGGUAAGGAUUCUCUCAAGUACGAUGAGAUUACCGAAGCUAUUCAAUCUUAUUUUAAGAUGAGUAGGGAGACCAAAAGCUCUCAAGGAGGCCUUCAUGUCAAAGGCAAUGAGACAGGUCAGUUGACGAGUAAGAAGGAUAAAUCUGGUAAUAGGAGUACAUCAAAAUCCAAGGAAAAAUACAAGAAAGGUUGCUUCAAAUGUGGUGCUACCGAUCACUUGAAAAGAAACUGCAGAGAAGGGAAGAUGAAAGCAGCGGCGAUGGCAGGGAGUUCAAACACAGCCAAUGUAGUCAUCAAACAAGAUAAAGAUGACGGUGAACUCCUUGUGGUAGCAGCCAGCUCCAAUGCUUUCAGAAAUUGGAUUUUGGAUACCGAUUGUACAUUCCACAUGUGUGCAAUCCGAGAAUGGUUCGACACAUAUGAGGAGAGUAGCAGCGGAGAGGUUUUUAGGGGAGAUGACUCACCGUGUAGGAUCCUAGGUAUUGGAUCAGUGAAAAUCAGAAUGCAUGACGGAGUUGUUAGAACGCUGGAGAAUGUCAGAUAUAUUCCUAAGUUAAGGAAGAACUUGAUAUCUUUGGGUACUUUGGACAAGGCCGGAUAUAGGUAUCGCUCUGAAGAGGAAAGACUCAAAGUUCUCAAGGGAUCACUUGUUGUGAUGAAGGGCGACAUUCAACCUAACAACUUAUACAAGCUUCAAGGGACUACAAUAAUAGGUGGAGUUGCAAUGUCUACUGAGGUAAAAGACAAGACUGAGCUAUGGCAUCAUCGCCUUGGGCACAUGAGUCAAAGAGGAAUGCAGGAACUCCACAAGAAAGGUAAGCUAGAAGGUGUCAGUGUUUGCAAACUGAACUUCUGCAAGGAUUGUACUCUUGGGAAGCAGAAGGUGGCAUUCAAGUUAGCAAAUUGUGAGAACAAAAGCAAAGGAUUGCUGGAUUAUAUUCACUCAGAUGUCUGGGGCCCGGCACCAGUAAGGUCUAUGGGAGGCUUCAAGUACUUUGUUACUUUUCUAGAUGAUUUUUCGAGGAAGAUUUGGGUCUGCUUUAUGAGAGAGAAAUCCGAGGUUUUCACCAAGUUUAAGGAGUGGAAAACAGAAGUAGAAAAUCUAACAGGCAGAAAAAUCAAGUAUUUGAGAAGUAACAGUGGCAGUGAAUAUAGAAUGAAAAGGUUCUUACAAUUUUGUAAGGAUGAAGGAAUCACGAGACACUUCACGGUGAAGGAGAAUCUCCAACAAAACGGAGCUGCUAGAAGGAUGAAUAAAACUCUCUUGGAGAGAGAAAGAAGCAUGCGGUUGCAUGCAGGAUUACCGGACACGUUUUGGGCAGAUGCAGUUAACCAUGCGUGUUACUUGGUUAAUCGGUCACCAUCAAAAGUUUUGGACUUCAAGUGUGCAGAGGAGGUAUGGUCUGGAGAACCAGCUGACUACUUAAGGGUGUUUGGUUGCAGUGCAUAUGCUCAUAUUUCCAACAAUGAGCAAACCAAACUCAGGCCAAAGUCACGCAAGUGCAUAUUUCUUGGUAUUGAGAAAGGAGUAAAAGGCUACAAGUUAUGGGAUAUUGUAAGCAAGAAAAGGGUUCUAAGUAGACACGUCAUUUUUGAUGAGGAGACAAUGCCGUUCAAUGAAGUCAAGACAAUUGAGGUGAAGAAGAAGACUAAUGUUGUAGAGAAAGCAACCAAAGUUCCUCUAACCAAAGGGAUCAUGGAAGAAACUCCAGCUCAGGUGGAGCAAAUUGAGCAAGUGGAGCAUGAUAAAAGGGUUAUCGAGGAAGAAGUCUUAGAGCAACAACAACAGUCAUUAAUACAAGCUCAGGUGGAGCAAUUAGCAAUGCGAACCUACGACUCGGUUCGUCAGUCACUUGGGCAGGAGUUCCAGAGAAGCAUAGCAUUGGACAAGUAUGCUCUAAGUUUCAGUCCAGAAGAUCCAACCACGUAUCAGGAAGCUAUAGCAAAUGAUGUACGGGAAAGUUGGAGGGGAGCUAUGUUAGAACAGAUGAAGAAGUCCAUACAUAAGGACUUGGUUCAGGAGUCGGUUCCUAAGCCCAAAGAAAGAAAUCAGGUUGGCUGUAAGUGGGUUUAUAGGAAAAUAGAAGUAAUGCAUGAUAAGGAAGCCAUGAGAUUCAAAGCUUGGGUAUUGGCCAAGGAGUAUUCACAGAAAGUAAAGGUCGAUUUUGACCAAAUCUCACCAAUGGAUAGCUGCGUUUAUCAUCAUGUGUUCAAGGAUAGUAUGGGUUUACUAUUGCUACUUUAUUUAGGUGACGUGUUGACUACAUGUCAGGAUAUGUCUAGAAUUCCGAAGUUAAAGACACAACUAGGGAAGGAAUUUGACAUAAAGGAUCUAGAAGCUGCACAGCAGAUCCUAGGAGUGAAGAUAAGGAGGGACAGAGAAGCGGGAAAAAUAGGGCUAUUAUUUGAACCCGUGUCUACUCCACCAGUAGCACACUUCCAGUUGAGUGUGCAGAGAUCAUCUACGAAGGAGUUAGAUGAGAUGAUGAAUGUGUCUUAUGCAAGAGUAGUGGAAUGUCUUAUGUACGCUAGAAUCUGCACAAGACCAGGUUUAGCUCAAGCAUUGAGCAUUAUGUCCAAGUAUAUGGCGAAUCCGGGUAGACGACACUGGCAAGCAGUGAAGUGGAUUCUGUAUUACUUGAGAGACACGAAGGAGCAUGAAUUUGUGUUUGAAAGACAACAAGAACAAGCAUGCAUUGCUGGUCCCAAAGGUUCAGAUUUGGCAGGAGACAUAGACAAGACAAGACCUGCAACAAGUUAUAUCUAUACUUGUAAUGAAGGUUUAGUGAGCUGUAGAGCAACUAUGGAAUCAGCUACGAUGUUGUCUACCACUGAAGUAGAUUGCAUGGCACUAACAGAAACUUCCGCAGAGGCAUUAUGGCUUAAUGGAUUAAUGAGUGAGUUUGGAAUUCAACAAGAAGCUGUGAUGAAGAAUGGGGUCAUCAAUUUGACAAGGAAUCAAGUGUUUCAAGCAGAGACGAAACACGUUGAUGUUCGUAGUCAUCGCCGCGAAGGUUGGGUCAACUCAAGGAAGAUAACAAAUGAGAAAGUUCAUUCAAGGGAGAAUGUCUCAGAUUGUUUGACCAGGACCAUUGCCAUGGAGGAGUUCAAGUGUUACUUGAACCUGCUCGAUCUUACAGCAUGUUGAGAUUGAGGUGGAGCACCUCCUCACUUGAGGUGUGUUGAGGCAAGAAGAGUCUUGCCAAGGUGAAGGUUCUUGAAGGUUUCAGGAUUACUUCAAGAAGUACUAGAUAUCCUGGAGGUUGCAGCAAUCAGUUUGGUAUCAACUCACCAAGGUGGAGAUUGUUGUGAAUUUGGCUCGUUGAUAUGCCUAAAUUGAUUAGGAUUCAAGGCAAAACCAGAUGGGGCUGCAGGGAGCUCAUAUAUUGUGUCCUCAGAUCAGAGAAGAGAUCUCAGAGAGUUCUCAGUUAACAUACAAACAUAGAGGCAGGGAGAGCCAAGGGUGAUAGAGAGAUCUAGCAAAGAGGUUGGGGAUUAGCAUAGGGAUUUCAAUAAGUACUUGUAAUCAAGUUGUUAUUCUCCAUAGUGCUAGUGAUUCUCAAGAGAGAUCACACAGAGGACGUAGGCAAAGUUUUUGUCGAACCUCUAUAAAAUUCUGUGUUCGUGUGCUGUGGUUUUCUGCUGUGAUAUUUUGCAUCAUCAUCCUAUUAUUGUUUGCACAGUCAUAAGCCUAUAAAGAGAAACAAGGUUCUGGGUAAAAGGUGCAUAUUUACUACAAUAACCACAAGUUUGCAUGAUAAGUACCUGUUCUAGAAGAAUGAUAAAAGUUGCAUGCUGUUUAUGCUUGUUAGCCUACAGUUACUUUGUAUGUGCUCUUGAACAUUGCAUUAUAUUGACAGCUGGUGAAUCUU